rnacentral:rRNA from 1 species
UACGAAGGGGGCUAGCGUUGUUCGGAAUUACUGGGCGUAAAGGGCGCGUAGGCGGCUUCGCUAGUCGGGCGUGAAAGGCCUGGGCUCAACCCGGGAACUGCGUUCGAUACUUCGAGGCUAGAGUGUGGGAGAGGAUGGUGGAAUUCCCAGUGUAGAGGUGAAAUUCGUAGAUAUUGGGAAGAACACCGGUGGCGAAGGCGGCCAUCUGGACCACUACUGACGCUGAGGCGCGAAAGCGUGGGGAGCAAACAGG